AUGCUCCUCCUCCACCUAGCGUGCCAUGCUCCCUUCCUCCACCGAGCGUGCCAUGCUCCCUUCCUCCACCUAGCGUGCCAUGCUCCCUUCCUCCACUCUCCAUCUAGCGUGCCAUGUUCCCUUCCUCCCACUCUCCAUCUAGCGUGCCAUGCUCCCUUCCCCCACUCUCCAUCUAGCGUGCCAUGCUCCCUUCCUUCCACUCUCCACCUAGCGUGCCAUGCUCCCUUCCUCCACCUGCGUGCCAGCUCCCUUCUCCACUAGGUGCAUGCUCCUUCCUCCCAUCACCUAGCGUGCCAUGAUCCCUUCCUCCACCUAGCGUGCCAUGCUCCCUUCCUCCACCCCUCCUUCAUCUAGCGUGCCAUGCUCCCUUCCCGCCACUCUCCCAUCUAGC
rnacentral:lncRNA from 1 species